GCUCAUGUAGUUUAAUGAAAAUGUUGGUUUGUGGGGCCAGAGAUGUAAAAGGUUUUGUCUUGAGCA
rnacentral:tRNA from 1 species